AGAACGACUCUCGGCAACGGAUAUCUCGGCUCUCGCAUCGAUGAAGAACGUAGCGAAAUGCGAUACUUGGUGUGAAUUGCAGAAUCCCGUGAACCAUCAAUCUUUGAACGCAAGUUGCGCCCGAGGCCUUCGGCUAAGGGCACGCCUGUCUGGGCGUCACGC
rnacentral:rRNA from 1 species